rnacentral:rRNA from 1 species
GGGUUGUGAGGUUAAGCGACUAAGCGUACACGGUGGAUGCCCUGGCAGUCAGAGGCGAUGAAGGACGUGCUAAUCUGCGAAAAGCGUCGGUAAGGUGAUAUGAACCGUUAUAACCGGCGAUGUCCGAAUGGGGAAACCCAGUGUGAUUCGUCACACUAUCGUUAACUGAAUACAUAGGUUAACGAGGCGAACCGGGGGAACUGAAACAUCUAAGUACCCCGAGGAAAAGAAAUCAACCGAGAUUCCCCCAGUAGCGGCGAGCGAACGGGGAGCAGCCCAGAGUCUGAAUCAGCUUGUGUGUUAGUGGAACGGUCUGGAAAGUCCGACGGUACAGGGUGAUAGUCCCGUACACCAAAAUGCACAGGCUGUGAACUCGAAGAGUAGGGCGGGACACGUGGUAUCCUGUCUGAAUAUGGGGGGACCAUCCUCCAAGGCUAAAUACUCCUGACUGACCGAUAGUGAACCAGUACCGUGAGGGAAAGGCGAAAAGAACCCCGGCGAGGGGAGUGAAAAAGAACCUGAAACCGUGUACGUACAAGCAGUGGGAGCACCUUCGGGUGUGACUGCGUACCUUUUGUAUAAUGGGUCAGCGACUUAUAUUCUGUAGCAAGGUUAACCGUAUAGGGGAGCCGCAGGGAAACCGAGUCUUAACUGGGCGUUAAGUUGCAGGGUAUAGACCCGAAACCCGGUGAUCUCAGCCAUGGGCAGGUUGAAGGUUGGGUAACACUAACUGGAGGACCGAACCGACUAAUGUUGAAAAAUUAGCGGAUGACUUGUGGCUGGGGGGUGAAAGGCCAAUCAAACCGGGAGAUAGCUGGUUCUCCCCGAAAGCUAUUUAGGUAGCGCCUCGUGAACUCAUCUUCGGGGGUAGAGCACUGUUUCGGCUAGGGGUCAUCCCGACUUACCAACCCGAUGCAAACUACGAAUACCGAAGAAUGUUAUCACGGGAGACACACGGCGGGUGCUAACGUCCGUCGUGAAGAGGGAAACAACCCAGACCGCCAGCUAAGGUCCCAAAGUCAUGGUUAAGUGGGAAACGAUGUGGGAAGGCACAGACAGCCAGGAUGUUGGCUUAGAAGCAGCCAUCAUUUAAAGAAAGCGUAAUAGCUCACUGGUCGAGUCGGCCUGCGCGGAAGAUGUAACGGGGCUAAACCAUGCACCGAAGCUGCGGCAGCGACACUAUGUGUUGUUGGGUAGGGGAGCGUUCUGUAAGCCUGCGAAGGUGACCUGUGAGGGUUGCUGGAGGUAUCAGAAGUGCGAAUGCUGACAUAAGUAACGAUAAAGCGGGUGAAAAGCCCGCUCGCCGGAAGACCAAGGGUUCCUGUCCAACGUUAAUCGGGGCAGGGUGAGUCGACCCCUAAGGCGAGGCCGAAAGGCGUAGUCGAUGGGAAACAGGUUAAUAUUCCUGUACUUGGUGUUACUGCGAAGGGGGGACGGAGAAGGCUAUGUUAGCCGGGCGACGGUUGUCCCGGUUUAAGCAUGUAGGCUGAUUAUCCAGGCAAAUCCGGAUAAUCAAGGCUGAGGUGUGAUGACGAGGCACUACGGUGCUGAAGUAACAAAUGCCCUGCUUCCAGGAAAAGCCUCUAAGCAUCAGGUAACAUCAAAUCGUACCCCAAACCGACACAGGUGGUCAGGUAGAGAAUACCAAGGCGCUUGAGAGAACUCGGGUGAAGGAACUAGGCAAAAUGGUGCCGUAACUUCGGGAGAAGGCACGCUGGUGUGUAGGUGAAGCCCCUGCGGGUGGAGCUGAGACCAGUCGAAGAUACCAGCUGGCUGCAACUGUUUAUUAAAAACACAGCACUGUGCAAACACGAAAGUGGACGUAUACGGUGUGACGCCUGCCCGGUGCCGGAAGGUUAAUUGAUGGGGUUAUCCGUAAGGAGAAGCUCUUGAUCGAAGCCCCGGUAAACGGCGGCCGUAACUAUAACGGUCCUAAGGUAGCGAAAUUCCUUGUCGGGUAAGUUCCGACCUGCACGAAUGGCGUAAUGAUGGCCAGGCUGUCUCCACCCGAGACUCAGUGAAAUUGAACUCGCUGUGAAGAUGCAGUGUACCCGCGGCAAGACGGAAAGACCCCGUGAACCUUUACUAUAGCUUGACACUGAACAUUGAGCCUUGAUGUGUAGGAUAGGUGGGAGGCUUUGAAGCGUGGACGCCAGUCUGCGUGGAGCCAACCUUGAAAUACCACCCUUUAAUGUUUGAUGUUCUAACGUUGGCCCCUGACCGGGGUUGCGGACAGUGUCUGGUGGGUAGUUUGACUGGGGCGGUCUCCUCCCAAAGCGUAACGGAGGAGCACGAAGGUUAGCUAAUCCUGGUCGGACAUCAGGAGGUUAGUGCAAUGGCAUAAGCUAGCUUGACUGCGAGCGUGACGGCGCGAGCAGGUGCGAAAGCAGGUCAUAGUGAUCCGGUGGUUCUGAAUGGAAGGGCCAUCGCUCAACGGAUAAAAGGUACUCCGGGGAUAACAGGCUGAUACCGCCCAAGAGUUCAUAUCGACGGCGGUGUUUGGCACCUCGAUGUCGGCUCAUCACAUCCUGGGGCUGAAGUAGGUCCCAAGGGUAUGGCUGUUCGCCAUUUAAAGUGGUACGCGAGCUGGGUUUAGAACGUCGUGAGACAGUUCGGUCCCUAUCUGCCGUGGGCGCUGGAGAAUUGAGGGGGGCUGCUCCUAGUACGAGAGGACCGGAGUGGACGCAUCACUGGUGUUCGGGUUGUCAUGCCAAUGGCACUGCCCGGUAGCUAAAUGCGGAAGAGAUAAGUGCUGAAAGCAUCUAAGCACGAAACUUGCCCCGAGAUGAGUUCUCCCUGAGACUUUAAGUCUCCUGAAGGAACGUUGAAGACGACGACGUUGAUAGGCCGGGUGUGUAAGCGCAGCGAUGCGUUGAGCUAACCGGUACUAAUGAACCGUGAGGCUUAACCUUACAACGCCGAAG